GCAUGGCUGUCGUCAGCUCGUGCCGUGAGGUGUUGGGUUAAGUCCCGCAACGAGCGCAACCCCUAUCUUUAGUUGCCAUCAGUUCGGCUGGGCACUCUAUGGAGGACUGCCACCUAAAGUGGAGGAAGGUGGGGAUGACGUCAAGUCAGCAUGGCCCUUACGUCCGGGGCUACACACGUGCUACAAUGGCCGGUACAAAGGGUUGCGAAGCCGUGAGGUGGAGCGAAUCGUCAAAAAGCCGGCCUCAGUUCGGAUUGGAGGCUGCAACUCGCCUCCAUGAAGUCGGAAUCGCUAGUAACCGCAGAUCAGCUACGUUGCGGUGAAUACGUUCCCGGGCCUU
rnacentral:rRNA from 1 species